GCCGCGUGUGUGAAGAAGGCUGCGGGUUGUAAAGCACUUUAAGCAGGAAAGAAGGGCAGGCUGUUAAUACCAGCCUGCAUUGACGUUACCUGCAGAAUAAGCACCGGCUAACUCCGUGCCAGCAGCCGCGGUAAUACGGAGGGUGCAAGCGUUAAUCGGAAUUACUGGGCGUAAAGCGCACGUAGGCGGCGCGUUAAGUCUCCUGUGAAAGCCCCGGGCUUAACCUGGGAAUGGCAGGGGAAACUGGCGGGCUAGAGUGUCGGAGAGGGUAGUGGAAUUUCCGGUGUAGCAGUGAAAUGCGUAGAGAUCGGAAGGAACACCAGUGGCGAAGGCGACUACCUGGACGAACACUGACGCUGAGGAGCGAAAGCGUGAGGAGCAAACAGGAUUAGAUACCCUGGUAGUCCACGCGGUAAACGAUGAGAACUAGCCGUUGGGUGCGUUUCAGCACUGAGUGGCGAAGCUAACGCGAUAAGUUCUCCGCCUGGGGAGUACGGCCGCAAGGUUAAAACUCAAAUGAAUUGACGGGGGCCCGCACAAGCGGUGGAGCAUGUGGUUUAAUUCGAUGCAACGCGAAGAACCUUACCUGGGCUUGACAUGUCGCG
rnacentral:rRNA from 1 species